ACUUUUGGCCCUGAAAAUAUUCCAGUCGCUGCCUUCAGUUACUGGUCUCUUAUUAAUGAUAUACUUAGGACCAUCCCUGCAGCAGUCAGUUCUUGACACUGUGGUCAAUAUUCCCCAGGUUAGGGGGCAAGGGAGCCACUAAAGUAGUUCCAGAAAGAGUCUGCAGCAGACUGAGAGGACGUUUGUUUUACCGAAAGAAUUCAGAACAGGCUUUGGCUAUGUUUACCCUAGGAUGAUAUCAGGAGAAAGUCUUGGCAAGGGCUUUUCAGCCUACUCCAACUGGAGGCUGUGGCCAAGGUCAGGAUCAAUGUUUUAUUUUCCAUGGGUCUCUAACCCAAUGAGGCAGCUUGGUGAAGGGCUGGGGACUGCUACUGGAGUCCUGGAAUUCAGAGCCACAGGGAGGGCUGUAGUUCUACUAAAGAUCAGUACUCCAGUGUUAGCAAUCUCUUUAUUGGAUGUGAAGGCAGGAAGCCCAGCUCAACUGAGACUGCUGACUCAGGAAUGGCAACAGAAAGAGUCCUUAAACCCCCAGCCUGUACUCCACCAAGAGGAGCUGCUUGCUCAAAGAGCUGCACUGAUUGUCCAUUGCCGUUGCACAAGAAAAAUUGGAAGCUCUACCACCAACUCCAGGACAGCUGAGAUAUGUAUUCUUCCACAAUGUGAUACCUUUUGUAGGGUUUAGCUUUUUGGAUAAUGCAAUUAUGAUUGUUUCAGGAACUCAGAUUGAAUUGUCUAUUGUAAUUAUUUUGGGAAUUUCAACAAUGGCAGUCAACAUGUUAUCUUUUCCAUGUAUUAACAUAUUAAUUAACUUUCAGUUAUUUAUACUGUACUGCACUGACUUGGGGUUUGCUUAUUUGUCCCCACCAGCGGGGACCCAGUUAUUCAGGGUCCCAAAGGGGUGCUACCCUUGGGCCUAAAUGGGGGGCGAGAGAAGAAGGAGACCAAGCAAGAUUCUGUUGUCAAGGUCUCGUUUAUUGGGAUGAAUGUUACAGCUUUUAAGGCUUUCAGGUAGGGGGAGUGACCUUUGUGAAAUAUGAAGGAGGGGGAGAUGAGGAUAUAGGCAGUGAUAGUUGGAGGCAAAGAAGUCAGGCAAUGAGGUCAGGUGGUGGAGACACUGGGUGUUGACUGAAGAGAUAACUGGUAUCUGCUAAGGGAGCUGAGGCAUCCCUUGAAUGUUAUCUUCCAGUGCCGUAAAUUCAUGGGAGAGGCUUUGUCCAACAAUCUUAAGACUUAUGGCAGUCAUCUUAGGGGUGAGUAUCUGUGGCCAAACAUCCCAGAGUCACCUAGCCACUUUGAGCCAAGCAGUUAAAAAAGCGGCUAGGCCCAAAUCCAAUAUGGCUCCGUGCACUUAUUUCUUACAUAACAUGCACAGGAUACCUAUUUAUGUCUUUAUUUUUUUUCCCAAUGGUUAUAAUUCAAUGCUGAGGUUUCUCCAAAUUAUUUAAGAUGUUUAAUAUCAGUUAAAAUUGUAAUUUUCUGCCUGGUGGCAUCCCUUCUGUGAUAUUUCACGGUAAACAUUUACAAUCAUAUAAAUUCAUUCAAUUUUUAAAGUUCCACAUCUAUCCAAAAUGGAGCAGUGUUUUCAGUAUAUCUGACUAUUUUAAUUUUGACCCAUACUGUCUUUAAGAGUCAGAGGUUAAUCAGAAAGAACAAUUGUCUGGUCCACGUUUUACAUAAACCAAGCAUGCUAACAAGUGUACUUGUUUCUGAUUGGGUUUUUACGUUUAAUUUCCCAACUUUGAGCAAUCACAGUGAAUUCUGGUUUGUGAGAGAAAGGCUAUUCUUGGAGACUUUCUGUGUCUUAGAAUAUGGUCAAAGAAAGCAUGAAAAAGGUGAGAGAGGGCCUAGAAAAAAGACACACACACACACACACACACACACACACACACACACACACAGAGAGAGAGAGAGAGAGAGAGAGAGAGAGAGAGAGAGAGAGAGAGAGAGAGGCGAAAGCUGGUGUCAAAAUAGGUUUUCCAUCUCUCCUUGGCUGACUGCCCUUCUUCCCUCUUUGUUGGGGCCCUUGGUUGGCCUCCUUUUGCUCAUAUCUUUUGGCUCUUGGGUCUUUAAUAGCUUAACUAGCUUAUUAAACAACAAAUAGAUACUUUAGCAGUGAAACCUAUUCAAGUACAUUAUAUAGAUUGGCUUCAGAGGAUUUAGGUGAAGAAGGUUCAGCCUCAAGUCCCAUCUCCAACCAACCCUGAUUUGGGCGAUAUUGCCCUUGGACUGCCUAACAUUGGCCCUACUUGCAAAGAUAGCCUCCUUCACCUUUCAGUCUGUCUGUCCCCUGCCGGGUAUUGGCAACUUUUGAGAAACCCCCCUAUUCACCUAAGACAGGAGUCCUUAAGUCUGAUUGGGUAUCCAGUGACGGGUAAGAUUGUGUGCUCCUUGAUCAAUCCGAAGACAGGCUCUACCCCAAAAGGAUAAAAGGGAAUUCGUUCCCCACUGAGCUACCUGCCACCUUGGAGUGCUAAAAUCAGGGGCCUUUCAUCCUUUAUUACAGGGAAGGGGGAGAUGUGGGGAGCUGACUUGCCUGAGACCCCAACAUUGAUCUAAUUAGGACAGACAAAUAACAUAUGAAGGUUUAUCUAAAGACAAACUCAGUGGAAAAAACCCAGUGUUCUAGCUAAGCUCACAGAAGUGCUGAUACAAAUAUGGUGGCCAGCGUUGCUUAGUAAUAAGCUUGCCAAGUGGAGGCUUGUGACCUCCAAGCUUGUUGGGAGCUAGCUUCUUACAGACCAAGGGCUUGUUAUCUUUGCAAAGAGAUAGCUUCCUACAGACCUAGGGCUUGUGGCUUUUAGGAGCCACCUUCUUACAAGACCUAGGCCAACAUCCUGCAGGUGUGAGCCAACUACCUUAUUGGCUAGUACAUCAAGGUCUCCCAGCCCCCUGAAGAUUUCCUCCUCCUCCAGCCUUGCUAUAGUAUAUAACCAGAACUUGCAAGAAUUAAAAUUGUCACCUUGAUCAUACUCUUGUCAUCCUUCUUCGUGUCUCUUGUCCCCCAUUCUCUUCCAGGUACCCUCUUGACCCUUGUUGACUGUCCUGCAGGAUGGGAUAUUACAUGACCACAAGUUCCCCCAAGUGGACCUCUGUUCUAGAGCUUGUGGAUAUCAUCUUCCCAGAGACGCCAAGCCUGACUUCCUAUGCACACCACAUCCUGUGUGUUCCUUCACUGCAUCUUCCUGCUGGAACCUAAGUUCCCAGAGAAUAGGAACUGCCUAUGUGUUUUCUCUGGAGCCCUUCCCAUAAUGCCUAGCUCACAGUGCUCAGUGAGUAUAACUGACAAUGUGAAUAUGAACAGAGUGCAGCGGGAUAUGGAGAGUAAAUCACUUACCUGACAAAGCGACAUAAAGAACAGUUACAGCUACAAUGAGGACCAUGAUCACUACAGAGCAGAGAUGAUGGGAAACUGUGGUCAAGGCGUAAAGUGAAUAAAUACGUUUAAAAAAAUAUAAAAAAAAAGGAUCUCUUUUGAAACUCUGGCCUUCAAAACUGUAAUAGAGAUUCAUGUUUUUGUUGCUGUUUAAGCCUCUUUGUCUAUUCUUAAGAUUUAUUUAUUUUUCAUUCAUGUGUACGAAUGCUUGCCUGCCUGCAUGUAUAUAUAUGUAUCAUGUGCGUACCUGGUGCCCACAGUGGUAAGAACAGGAUAUUGUGUCUCCUGGAACUCAUGGAUCAUUGCUAGCCAUACAGGGUCUUGGGAGCCAUACCUGGAUGCCCUGCAAGAACAGUCAGGCCUCUAAGCUGCUGAGUGAUCUCUCCAUCCCUCAGCAGAAUUUUCUUUACUUACAUUUUAAAUGUUAUUCCUCUACCCGGUUUCCUGUCCAUAAGCCCCCAUUCCUUCCCCUCUCCCUCCCCCAUACGGGUUUUUCCCCAUACUUCCCCCCGGUAUUGCCCCAACACACACUUAUUCCCUUGCACUGGGGGUCCAACCUUGGCAGGACCAAGGGCUUCCCCUUCCACUGGUGCUCCAACAAGGUUAUUCUCUGCUACCUAUGAGGUUGGAGCCCAGGGUUAGUCCAUGUAUAGUCUUUGGGUAGUGGUUAAGUCCCUGGAAGCUCUGGUUGGUUGGCAUUGUUGUUUUUAUGGGGUUGUUUUAAAGAACAGCACUAACAUACAACUAUGUUUGUUUUGCUGCUGUGGUUUCUGUUUUGGAGGCAGUGUCUGUAUGAUGCCCUGGCUGGCCUAGAGCUCUCUAUGCAGACUAGGCUGGCCUAUAACUCACAGAGAUCUCCCUGCUUCUGCCUCUCAGGAACUGAGGGAAAGGCUUAUUAUAAUAGAAUAUGACUUUGUAUAUCAUCUGAAAGUUAGCAAUAACUACAUCUAAACAAUAUCGACCAAAGGGAACACUGUGGCCAACUGGGUCCCUGCUGCUAUCCUUCAUGGCAGACAUGUCCUUUUCACUAGGCAGGAAAAUAGCAAAAUUAAAAUUUCAUUUCCUUUAGGUAGUGGUGAAUUGUGACUGUGAAAAGUUGUUCUGAACAGCUGUCACCUAUAGGUGGCAGUAGUGUCACUCAGAGGUUACAGUCUACUGAAGACCAUGACUGCUUUUUCAUUUUCAUCUCCAUGAUGCAAGAGUGGUAGAACAAACGGCAUAUUUCCUGGUUGGUAAAGUAUCCUCAAGAACAAGCUGACCAGUAGUAUUGUCAUUCCUAGUCACAUUUUGGAUAUGAAGAAACACUUUGACUGGGACUACUAAGCUUAUCAUGGUUCAGGCUUAUAUAUAAUAGGGUAAUCUGAACUUUUUUGAUAUGUGAUUUAGAACAAGUUUUUUGUAUGAAUAUUAAACAAACAUUGGGCAACAAGAUUUAGUGUAACAAACUAUUAACUAGUUCUAUGUCGGGAGCCAUAUUGGAUUUGGGCCUGGACGCUUUGUGACUGUAUGGCUCAAAGUGGCUACGUGACUCUUGGCUACAUGGCCACGGAUGUUCAAUCUUGAAAUGACUGCCAUAAGUCUAGAGAGUGUUGGACAAAAGCCUCUCCCAUGAAUUUACGGCACAGAAAGAUAACUUUCACAGGAUGUUUCAGUCUGAGCAAACACCAGACAUCUCCGGCGUCUCCAUUGCAUGACCUCUUCACCUUCUGCUCUCGCUGCUGGAAUGCCCUCCUCCCUCCAUCCUUUGUGUUUCACAAAGGACACUCCCCCUACCUGAAAGCCUUAAAAGCUGUAAUGUUCACCCCAAUAAACGAGACCUUGACAACAGAACUUUUGCUUGGUCUCCUUCUUCUCUUCACCCCCAUUUGGCCUACAGGUAGAAAGCCUCUUCGGGACCCUGAAUAACUGGACCUGCUGGACGGGUCAGUUCUAUUAUUAGUUAUUAGUUACUAAUAUUAUAGAAUACUAGACAGUUUUGGGGUGUCAGUUCUUUUUUUCUGAAACUUUUUUAUCUUGUUAUUCUUUU